rnacentral:rRNA from 1 species
UGGGGAAUAUUGGACAAUGGGCGCAAGCCUGAUCCAGCCAUGCCGCGUGAGUGAUGAAGGCCCUAGGGUUGUAAAGCUCUUUCACCGGUGAAGAUAAUGACGGUAACCGGAGAAGAAGCCCCGGCUAACUUCGUGCCAGCAGCCGCGGUAAUACGAAGGGGGCUAGCGUUGUUCGGAUUUACUGGGCGUAAAGCGCACGUAGGCGGACUAUUAAGUCAGGGGUGAAAUCCCGGGGCUCAACCCCGGAACUGCCUUUGAUACUGGUAGUCUUGAGUUCGAGAGAGGUAAGUGGAAUUCCGGGUGUAGAGGUGAAAUUCGUAGAUAUUCGGAGGAACACCAGUGGCGAAGGCGGCUCACUGGCUCGUUACUGACGCUGAGGUGCGAAAGCGUGGGGAGCAAACAGG